ACCUCCGGACUGGGGUUCGCAAGCUUCACGGCGAACAUACCUCGGGAAGUUGGUUAAACCUCACUAUUUAGAGGAAGGUGAAGUCGUAACAAGGUCUCCGUAGGUGAACCUGCAGAAGGAUC
rnacentral:rRNA from 1 species